rnacentral:rRNA from 1 species
GAACGCUAGCGGCAGGCCUAAUACAUGCAAGUCGAACGGUAACAUGAGUAGCAAUACUUGAUGACGAGUGGCGCACGGGUGCGUAACGCGUAUGCAAUCUACCUUUAACUGGUGAAUAGCCCGAAGAAAUUCGGAUUAAAACACCAUAGUAUAGUUGAGUGGCAUCACUUAACUAUUAAAACUCCGGUGGUUAAAGAUGAGCAUGCGUGACAUUAGCUAGUUGGUGAGGUAAUGGCUCACCAAGGCUACGAUGUCUAGGGGAUCUGAGAGGAUUAACCCCCACACUGGUACUGAGACACGGACCAGACUCCUACGGGAGGCAGCAGUAAGGAAUGUUGGACAAUGGUCGCAAGACUGAUCCAGCCAUGCCGCGUGCAGGAUGACGGCCCUAUGGGUUGUAAACUGCCUUUGUACGGGAAAAAACUUCUGAUCGUGAAUCGGAACUGAUUGUACUGUAAGAAUAAGGAUCGGCUAACUCCGUGCCAGCAGCCGCAGUAAUACGGAGGAUCCAAGCGUUAUCCGGAUUCAUUGGGUUUAAAGGGUGCGUAGGCGGAAUGAUAAGUCAGUGGUGAAAUCCUGCAGCUUAACUGCAGAACUGCCAUUGAUACUGUCAAUCUUGAGUACAUUUGAUGUGGGCGGAAUGUGUCAUAUAGCGGUGAAAUGCUUAGAUAUGACACAGAACACCGAUUGCGAAGGCAGCUCACAAAACUGUAACUGACGCUGAGGCACGAAAG